rnacentral:tRNA from 1 species
AGGAGGUUAAGUUAAUGAAAACUGAUUGCCUUCAAAGCUAUUAUUAUCGGUUCAAGUCCGAUACCUCCUG